rnacentral:rRNA from 1 species
UACGUAGGGCGCAAGCGUUGUCCGGAAUUAUUGGGCGUAAAGAGCUCGUAGGCGGUUUGUCGCGUCUGUCGUGAAAGCUUGGGGCUUAACCCCAAGUCUGCGGUGGAUACGGGCAGACUAGAGGCAGGUAGGGGAGAACGGAAUUCCAGGUGUAGCGGUGAAAUGCGUAGAUAUCUGGAGGAACACCGGUGGCGAAGGCGGCAUCCUGGACCGGCAUUGACGCUGAGGAGCGAAAGCCAGGGGAGCAAACGGG